rnacentral:rRNA from 1 species
UACGGAGGAUGCGAGCGUUAUCCGGAUUUAUUGGGUUUAAAGGGAGCGUAGGCGGCAAGGUAAGCCAGAAGUGAAAGCCCGCGGCUCAACUGCGGGACUGCUUUUGGAACUAUCUAGCUAGAUUGCAGGAGAGGUAAGUGGAAUUCCUAGUGUAGCGGUGAAAUGCGUAGAUAUUAGGAGGAACACCAGUGGCGAAGGCGGCUUACUGGACUGUAAAUGACGCUGAGGCUCGAAAGCGUGGGGAGCAAACAGG